UGCCGAUGUUUGUGCAGAUCCAGCAGAAGUGGAGGCGGAUGUAUGCCGGAGAGUGCAAAGGACCAGGCGUGCGCACCGACUUUGAGAUCGUUCACCUGCGUCGAGCGCCCGUGCAGUACAACCACCUGUCCGGCCUGCUCGACAUCUUCAAAUCUAAGAUAGGUUGUUCCCUGUUCCCUCUGCCUCCAGUCAACAUCGCCAUUCGCUUCACCUACGUGCUCCAAGACUGGCAGCAGUAUUCAUGGCCACAGCAGCCUCCAGGUGAGGCUGUGACAGAGCUCUUUAAACUCUGCUGUAGGACUGAGUGUACAGAGGAGAUUCCUGGAAGAGGAUACGCUGAAGAUGAGGGCAAAGAAAACAGUGAUAUCAGCUCUGCUUUGUCCAAGCUGACCGAGCCAGCAGCAACUGUGCCCAUUUCCAAACUGUCUGUCUCCAACAUGGUGCACAGUGCCCGGAAGCACAUUCGCCGCCAUCGACGCAUCGAUGAGUCGCCCCUUAACACCGAGAUACUCAAUUCUGUCCUUCUGAUGCUGCUGUGGAGAAGUCUGACUGUAAGAAUAACACUCAGCUGUCCAACUCCAGUGGGACAUCGGAGCAAGAGAAAACCUCUGAUUAUAACCUUUUCCACCAGCUGAAGUCGGCCCCCAGUGACAGUCUGACCUACCGUCUGGCUCUGUGUGUGUGUCUGUUCAACUAUUACUACGGUGGGCUGCGGGCUGUUCUCUAAAGACCUGGUGGAAAAUCAUCACAGGCUUGUCUGAGAGGAGAACCCUCGACACUGAAGAAAAGAUUAUAGGUCCAGGGUGGUGCUGCUCCAGGGGAGGAGAUGCCCUGCUGUUGCCUGGGACAUGAUCUGGCUACCCUUUUUCUUUCAGACAGGAAUCUGAGUUUGAUGAGUUGACGCAUGAGAGUGUCCAUGCGUCAAGUGGUGGGGUCCAGAAUUAACACUAAACAAUGUUUACUAUUAUUGUUGCAGUGAGUUGUGUGAUUAACCGUUUAUUUACAUGUUUAGAUGAGGCUUUGAUGGCCUAUAAGUGAAGUUCACUGAACUAAAGAAUGUGGUUUGAUGAUUGUUGACGUGCUCUCCAAAUAGAAGUUUUUCUGAAAUACAGGUGCAGCAGUGAGACGCGAGAAACAUUCCAGGCAUAGCGGACAGCCCAGGCAGUGGUUGAGGUCAAAGGUCAAGCUGGUUGGGGCCCAUCAUGAGAUCAGACCUUGGAGCCACAGCAAGGACCAUUUCAACUGCCUGCAAAAUAGCGAGAGACCCUCCUGGAUUUAUCAGAGCCACUGCAAAGAGGUCGAGGUCCCAGGAAACCCCGGCACCCCCAAGACAGCACAAUAGAGAAAUCUCACACUUGGUUGUUUCAGUGGUGAGGGGGGAGUGCUGAUUG